UACAUGGGGUGCAAACGUUGCUCGGAAUCAUUGGGCGUAAAGCGCGCGUAGGCGGUUACUUAAGUUGGAUGUGAAAGCCCUCGGCUUAACCGAGGAAGUGCAUCCAAAACUGAGUAGCUAGAGUACGAAAGAGGGUCGCGGAAUUCCCGGUGUAGAGGUGAAAUUCGUAGAUAUCGGGAGGAACACCGGUGGCGAAGGCGGCGACCUGGGUUGAGACUGACGCUGAGGCGCGAAAGCGUGGGGAGCGAACAGG
rnacentral:rRNA from 1 species